rnacentral:rRNA from 1 species
CAAUAGCGUAUAUUAAAGUUGUUGCAGUUAAAAAGCUCGUAGUUGGAUUUGUGGCGUACGGUGGGUUCCGGGCACUUGUUGUCUGAGUAACUUGCUGUUGCCGUCCUUGGGUGGAACCUGUGUGGCAUUAGGUUGUCGUGCAGGGGAUGCCCAUCAUUUACUGUGAAAAAAUUAGAGUGUUCAAAGCAGGCUUAUGCCGUUGAAUAUAUUAGCAUGGAAUAAUGAGAUAGGACUUUUUUGCUAUUUUGUUGGUUUGCGCAAAGAGGUAAUGAUUAAUAGGGACAGUUGGGGGUAUUCGUAUUCCAUUGUCAGAGGUGAAAUUCUUGGAUUUUUGGAAGACGAACUACUGCGAAAGCAUUUACCAAGGAUGUUUUCAUUAA